rnacentral:rRNA from 1 species
AGUGAACGCUGGCGGUAGGCCUAACACAUGCAAGUCGAACGGCAGCACAGUAGGGCUUGCCCUCUGGGUGGCGAGUGUCGGACGGGUGUGGAAUACAUCUGAAUCUGCCCAGUUGUGUGGGGUAUCGUAGGGAAACUUACGCUAAUAUCGCAUAUGCCCUUUGCGUGUGAGAGGAGGAUCUCUUGACCUCUCGCGCUUUGAUGUGCCGCGAUGUCGGAUUAGCUAGUUGGCGGGGUAAUGGCCCACCAAGGCGACGAUCCGUAGCUGGUCUGAGAGGAUGAUCAGCCACACUGGAACUGAGACACGGUCCAGACUCCUACGGGAGGCAGCAGUGGGGAAUAUUGGACAAUGGGCGCAAGCCUGAUCCAGCCAUACCGCGUGGGUGAAGAAGGCCUUCGGGUUGUAAAGCCCUUUUGUUGGGAAAGAAAACCUUCAGGCUAAUACCCUGGGAGGAUGACGGUACCCAAAGAAUAAGCACCGGCUAACUUCGUG